GUGCUGGAGUUGUGCAUAAGCUGAAUAGAAUAUAGGGCAGGAGUGAGAAAUUUCCAAAGGUUGUGAGACUGCAUCAGCCAUAUGUGAAAUAUUUGGGGAUUCAUUUACAUUCUGAUCCUCUGUACUCUCACUAUCCAAAUCCCCCCCCCCCCCAAAAAAAAAACACAUAAAGCAAAGGAUAAUUUAUACCAAUUAUACCAUUCCAUACAUUUAAUAUAUAUAUACCCAUCUUGGCUUGAAACAGGCUUGGAAAGGGGGGCAGAAGGGCAUCACAUUCUUUGGAAGUUUUAAGAAGUGAUUCUGAACAUUUUCCUCUAAUUGUUUAUGAGUGGACCUGUCCCAAAAAUCAUGAAAAUGCCCUUGGGAACAUAAAAAGGCUCUAGUAUACAAAGUGGAUUUGUAACUUUAUCAUGAGCAGUCCCAAUCCCUAGCAUUAAAUCAACAACAUGGAUGUUUUGCCUGUGGUAGCCCAUCAAUCAAUAGAAAAAGUGAAUGGGAGGUUGAUUGGGGAAGAUGGAAAUCACCUGUCAACCAAUCAGAAGUGGAUACAAAUGGACAAGCGCUCUUUUUUCUGUUGUGAGAAAGUGAGAAAGAGUAGCAGGGGACUAGGAACAAUUCAAAGUUUUUCUUCCAGCCACUUAAGAAAAUGUGGGGAUGUUUGUUUACCCAUAUCUGAUAUUCAGAGGCGGUGUCUUCUCCCUGACAAGGUAAGCUCAUUUAUGAAUAUUUUCAGCAUCUGUUGCCCUUGACAGGCAUGGCUGUAACACAUAGGUAUAUGUUUUAAGGAAGGUGAGCUAGUUUGUUGUGAAGUCAUGAACUUGAAGGGUUUUUAACAUUUGCCCUGACUAGAUCCUACAAACAUGGGCUUCUGCAAGUUUUCCAGACAUGUGUGGUGUGGCCUACAGUUGAAGAUGCUGCAGAACUAGGUGUUUUUGCUCUAAGAAGGUGUAGUGGAGGGGAUCUCUAGCUUUACCAAUAAUGUACAAGAGUGAUGUCGGGUUUUGAGUGUGUCAUAGAGAGGCAUUAAUUGAGAAUCUCUUUAUUAUCUGCUGCUGUUAGUUUUCUCCAUUCUCAGCAGCACAUGUAGCUAAAGCUACUGCCCACUGUGAAGUCUGCAGAUUGUAAAUUGUGGGAUGUUUUGCCCAGGGACAGCAAUUGCUGGAGCUAGUCUAUUUGUUGUGGCAGUGACCAACACCAUCAAACCCAUGAAGCAGAUUAAGAAAGCACUCCACUGCAUGGUUAUGAAUCUCUGAGAUGCAAUGCAAUGAAGGAGAUCUUCGUACGCAUGAAGUUGUUAGACUACGUUAACACACUGAGUACAAAGGAUAAUAGGAUUGCAGAAAAUAUACCUUGAACUCUGGUAGAGUGUGGCACCAGGUGUAGACUCAUGCAUUUAAUGUUAGUGCAAAUGGUGCUAUCUUUGUAUUAUGUUUUGCCUACACUCCCAUAUUGAGAGAAAAAAGCAGAUUAUAAUAAAUAAGUAAACAAAGUAACAUGACAUUUCUAGGUAUUUUUCUCGUGAUUGAGCUUUUUUCUUAUAUUCAGAAAGGAAAAGUUGUGCUGCUUUGUCUUUUGCUUUCCAAGUUCCAAAAACUAGUUUUUUGUUUUCCUGACAAAUCUGUCAGAAGAAAAGUUUAAGUCUGAUGUAACAGUCCCAGUUCUUCAAUUGCUCCCUGUCCUUUAAAAAUCCUGGAUAAAGAUGAACUCAAAACUAUUUUGUUUGUGUACUGUGAUGGGAAUUUGGUGAAACAACCAUAUACUGUGGUCUGAAUCUUAUUCUUAAUUUCUUGACCCACUACACAGCUGGAGUGUAUCUUUGUAUUAAUCUACAAUCCAACAAUUGACUGCAUGAGUCUAUUCUUUUUAUGACCAACAAAAUACAGGUCUGUAUCUAUUCAUAUGAGAGGAGAUUUUACCGAUAACAAAACAUAUUAAUCUCUCCACAUUUGUAAAAUUGAAUAACUUGGGCCUGAAUCCUUUCUACAACAUUUUUUUUUCAUUGUUGUUGUCCAGAUAAUGUAAAGUGCACUGGUGCUUGAAAUUCUGAGAUUUAUCCAAGCCUGAAUGGGUUGCAACUGUGAUAUGUCCACUAUUUUCCGUAGGAGAACAUGGGAGAGACAGUUUUAAAAAAGAAUUAAAAGUACUAUUGUUCAAGCUUGGCUUAAAAGUGGGUUUUAAAUCUCAAAAGGGUGGAGAAGGCAUGUUGUGGAAACAUGGGAGAGGACCUUCUCUGUGGCUGGUCCUACACUCUGGAACUCCCUUCCAAAACUGGCUCCCUUUUACGGUCAAGAUUUUUCUAUUCCUGCAGACAUUUCAGAACUGCUUGUUUUAUAUCACUGGUUUUCUGUUUUAGUGCUAUACUAUUAUUGAUCUAAUUCUUAUAUCCUUCUAUAGUUAGGCUUUGUUUUAAUCUUAACUUUUGGUAUGUUUUCAUUUUAAGCAGCAGGCCGGUGGAAUAUUAAUAUUGAUUCUAAAGGAUGGGAUGAUCCAAAAAAGACUACCUUUAACUUGGCCUGUUUACUGGAACCAAAUCUGUCUUGAAUUUCAAAUAGAAAAACAACUUAGAUUUUGCAUAAAUAAAAGAUUUUCACAUAGAAAAUUAGGAUAUUAAUCUUCAACACUAUUUACACAUGUUUCAAUUGAAGUUAGCAUAAUAUGGUGGUUAGAGUGUUGGAUAAGAACUUGAGAACUGAUGGUUCAAGUCUUCAGUGGAGCUGGGUGAUCUAAGAGCUCUUCCAAAUAGGCCCUAUAUCUGAGGAUCUGAUCCCAGAUUUUCUGCUUUAAACUGGAUUAUAUGGGUUCGCAGAUAAACAGAAUACCUGGGAUCAGAUCCUGGUAUAUAGGUCUUGCCUGGAAGGGCCCUGAGCCAGUCAUUCUCUCUCAGACUGAUCUAUUUCAAAAGAUUUUUGUGAAGAGAGAGGGGGGGGGAGGAGAGGCCUGUGUGCCACCUUAACCUUAUUGGAAGAAAAGCAUGUAAAUGUAACUAGUAAACUCUCAAUAUAAGUACUCUAAUUUAACGUUUUGUUAGCUGUUCUGAGAGCUGUAGUGCAAUUCUACUCAAAGUGGUGGACUAUGGACCAUAAUCUAUCUGUGAGCCAUUGGCUGCUCUUCUCUGGUGAGUUCCCAAGGGGAAAAAAAAGAAAUAUUUGUAAACAGUGGGCACAAAUACAGAACCUGUUCCUGGCACAUAGGAAAAGAAAAUGGCUAGCUUCCUACAUCAGAUGGUUUGAGAUACACUACUCUAUUGUGUACAUAUUGUGCCUACAAGAUGUUUCUCAUCAAUUUCAGUGUGAAUUUGAUAAUCUACAUACUCAUGGAGAGUUAGUGUAGUGGUUCAGGUGUUUGACUACAAUCCCAAAUAACACUGCCAAAUAACAUCCAGAUUAUCUGCUUUGAACUGGAUUAUGUGGCAGUGUAGAAUCAUAUAAUCCAAUUGAAAGCAGUCUGCAUUAUUUGCUUUGAUAAUGUGGAUUAUAGGAGCCCCGGUUGCAAAGUGUGUUAAAGUGCUGAGCUGCUGAACUUGCAGACCAAAAGGUCCCAGGUUCAAACUCCGGGAGCGACCGCUGUUAGCUCCAGCUUCUGCCAACCUAGCAGUUCGAAAACAUGCCAAUGUGAAUAGAUCAAUAGGUACCGCUCUGUUGGGAAGGUAGUGGCGCUCCAUGCAGUCAUGCCGGCCACAUGACCUUGGAGGUGUCUACGGACAACGGCGGCUCUUUGCCUUAGAAAUGGAGAUGAGCACCAACCCCCAGAGUCAGACAUGACUGGACUUAACGGCAGAGGAAACUUUUACCUUUAAUGUGGAUUAUAUGGUCAGCUGUGGAAACCUUUUGCGGGACUUCAGAGGAAAACAAUGGCAAACCUCCUGUGAACAAAUCUUGCAAAAAAAAAUUCGUGUCAGGAGCAACCUGGGUCGCUUCUGGGGUGAGAGAAUUGGCCAUCUGCAAGGAAGUAAAGGAUCUUGCAAAUAAAACCCCUUAGGGUCACCAUAAAUUGGAAAUGACUUGAAAGUACAGAAUAACAAACUCGCUCAAAAGUUCUGUACAUGAUUUCAGAUCUCUUCAAAUCUUUGCAACAGUUCGUAAUGAACAGGAGUGAAAGACAGGAGCUAUUUCGUCUAUUAUGCUCAAAUAGAGCCAGAAGGUUUGUUUUCAUUUCUUUUUAGUGUAUAAAUGAAGCUUUAAUUAGCAUUUUAACAUUACAUUCAUUCCAUUUGAAAACAUUCGAUUUAUAUGCAAAUUAAAUCCUCCCCUUGGAUAGUUAGCAGAUUAAAAUAGCUGAUAGGGGACUGCAGGUUGCUCUGGUAUGGAACAACUACAAUCAUCUUGUUUAUUAGCUUCCACAUUUCUGAUGCUUUGCUUCAGUCUUACAAACAAAGCUGCAUUAAACCUACAUAGCCUCUUCCAUGUAAGACUCACUAGCUCUAAAAAAAAAAGAAGAUGAAAGUUGCCUCCAACAGCUUUGUAACUGCAUGGUGGCAAUUGUUUAUCGCCUCUGACCUCUUAGUAAAUCCAUCAUUA
rnacentral:lncRNA from 1 species